rnacentral:rRNA from 1 species
AGAGUUUGAUCCUGGCUCAGGAUGAACGCUAGCGGCAGGCUUAAUACAUGCAAGUCGAGGGGCAACAGGGGUAGCAAUACCUGCUGGCGACCGGCAAACGGGUGCGGAACACGUACAGAACCUUCCUUUAAGCGGGGAAUAGCCCGGAGAAAUCCGGAUUAAUACCCCAUAGUAAUGUUGGGUGGCAUCAUUUGACAUUUAAAGAUUUAUCACUUAAAGAUGGCUGUGCGUAUGAUUAGGUAGUUGGUUGAGGUAACGGCUCACCAAGCCAACGAUCAUUAACUGGUGUGAGAGCACGACCAGUCACACGGGCACUGAGACACGGGCCCGACUCCUACGGGAGGCAGCAGUAAGGAAUAUUGGUCAAUGGACGCAAGUCUGAACCAGCCAUGCCGCGUGAAGGAUGAAGGUCCUCUGGAUUGUAAACUUCUUUUAUGUGGGAAGAAAUGCAUUCUUUAUAGAGUGUUUGACGGUACCAUAGGAAUAAGCACCGGCUAACUCCGUGCCAGCAGCCGCGGUAAUACGGAGGGUGCAAGCGUUAUCCGGAUUCACUGGGUUUAAAGGGUGCGUAGGUGGGCUUGUAAGUCAGUGGUGAAAUCUCCGUGCUUAACAUGGAAACUGCCAUUGAUACUAUAGGUCUUGAAUUUUCCGGAGGUUAGCGGAAUAUGUCUGUAGCGGUGAAAUGCUUAGAUAUGACAUAGAACACCAAUUGCGAAGGCAGCUAACUACAGGGAUAUUGACACUGAGGCACGAAAGCGUGGGGAUCAAACAGGAUUAGAUACCCUAGUAGUCC